rnacentral:rRNA from 1 species
UACGGGGGGGGGCAAGCGUUGUUCGGAAUUACUGGGCGUAAAGGGCUCGUAGGUGGCCAACUAAGUCAUACGUGAAAUCCCUCGGCUUAACCGGGGAACUGCGUCUGAUACUGGAUGGCUUGAGGUUGGGAGAGGGAUGCGGAAUUUCAGGUGUAGCGGUGAAAUGCGUAGAUAUCUGGAGGAACACCGGUGGCGAAGGCGGCAUCCUGGACCAAUUCUGACACUGAGGAGCGAAAGCCAGGGGAGCAAACGGG